UCUUUUCUCUCUCUAUGGCUUUCACUCUCUUUUGGUUCGUGUGUGCCGGAGGCGACUGGUAAUGGUCUCCUUCAAAGCCCUGUGCAUAUGUUUAUGUACCCUCUGCUAUUUUCUGGAGAGGCAUUGGCAAUGGCUGUAACUUUUGCUAUAUUUGUCUCUCUCUCUUUCUGCAAACACCCUAUCUCUGCAAACUCAUGCGGUUGAUUCUGUCUCUUAUGCCCUUUCUCUCUCUAUAACAAUAGUCAUGAGUUUUUUCUCUCUCUAUAACAAUAGUCAUGAGUUUUUUCUCUCUCUUUUUAGCUAUUAGUACUUGUUAAUGGUGGCCACUGUCUCUCAUGCAACGGCUACUUUCUGGGUUUUCGAAUUCAAAAUCAGGGGAUGAGGAGACUUGCAAUCAUGUCUCAAACGCUCAAACCCUCGCCAUUUCUCUUCACUCUCUUCUCAUGCAUCUCCUUCAGCGCACCAGCAUCAAGAAACCCUAACCCUAACCCUGACCAUAAAUAUGGAGAGAUAAACCCUAGAACCAUCCUCCAUCUCCUUAAAAAAUGCUCAGACAUGGCAACCCUGAAACAUAUUCAUUCUCACAUGGUUACCACUGGUUUGAUAAGCCACACCCAUAUUGUAAACAAGCUGAUAUUCUUCUGUUCACUCUCAUCCAAUGGCUGCUUAAACUAUGCUUCCUUACUCUGUGCUCAAAUGCCGAACCCUAAAACCUUUGCUUUGAACACCAUUAUGAGAGGCUAUGGCAAUAGUUCUUCUCCCUCUAAAGCUCUACUCUUAUUCAAGGGAAUGAUUGACGAAGGGAUAUCCAUCGAUAAUUUCACUUUCACAUUUUCUAUCACUGCCUGUGCUAGGAUGCUCGCUCUUCAAUUAGGGCAGAGCUGCCAUGGCUUUGCUUUGAAAUUAGGGUUUGACUUGGACAUUUUCGUGAGAAAUUCACUCAUCAAUCUUUAUGCAUGUUGUGGGGAGGUGGAUUUCGCGCGGUGGGUUUUUGAUGGUGGGUCUUGCGUUGAUUCGGUUUCUUGGAAUUCAAUCAUAAAUGCUUAUGCAAAGAGUGGGGGAGAUGGAAAUUGCGGAAGAACUAUUCAAUGAAAUGCCUGAGAGAGAUGCGGUUACUUGGGCUUCGUUAAUGGCAGGUUACGUGCAAAAUUGCCAAUUCGACGAAGCUUUAAGGGUUCUUGAUCGAAUGGGUCUGGCAGGGAUUGAACCCAAUGAUGCUAUUCUUACUUGUGCAUUAUCGGCCUGUGCCCAUUUGGGAGAUUUAGAGAGAGGAAAGCAAAUAAAUGCCAGUAUAGAUGGGCUUGGAGUAAAGCAGAGUGUACAUUUGAGCACUGCUCUUGUUAAUAUGUAUGCAAAAUGUGGCAAAUUGGAUAUUGCACAUACACUUUUCAAUAAAAUUCCUGAUAGAAAUGUGGUCUCAUGGAGCACUAUGAUUUCAGGUUAUGCCUGCAGUGACCAGUCCAAGGAAGCCUUAGAUUUGUUUCGUGAGAUGCAAGCAAAUGGGGUUGCACCCAAUGAGGCCAUACUGGUCACUGUAUUGUCAGUCUCUGCAAAUUUGGGGGCAUUUGACCUGGGCAAGUGGGUUCAUCGCUACAUAGAGAGAAAUAACAUCUUUUUAAGUGCUAAUAUUGGUACUGCAUUGAUUCACAUGUAUGCAAGGUGUGCUAGAUUAGAGGAGUCAUUUGAAGUUUUCGAUAUGAUGCGUGAAAAAAAUGUGGAUUCAUGGAAUGCCAUAAUUUCGGGCCUUGCAAUGCAUGGUCUUGGUGCAAAGGCAAUGGAUUGCUUUUGUAAUAUGAAAAUCUCAGGUAUCAAACCCGACGAUAUUACUUUCAUAGGCAUAUUAAGUGCAUGUAGCCAUUCAGGGUUGGUGCUAGAGGGGAAAAGUUUCUAUGGUUGCAUGACCAAAGACUACAAUAUUACGCCCAAAGUUGAGCACUAUGGAUGCAUGGUUGAUCUCCUAGGCCGUGCUGGCCUCCUAAUCGAGGCCCAACAAUUGAUAGAGAGCAUGCCCAUGAAGCCUGACAAUAUCGUUUGGGGAGCUUUGCUUGGUGCAUGUAAGCUUCAUGGUGAUCUUGAGCUUGGAGAAAAGGUAGUGAACCGUGUGCUUGAGUUGGAACCUCGAGAUGCUGCUACCUAUGUGUUGAUUUCGAACAUAUAUGCAGGGGCAGGGAGAUGGGGUGAGGUCAAGAAGGUGAGAAAGGCAAUGAGAGAGAAAGGGAUCAAGAUUUUGCCAGGUUGGAGUUCAAUAGAAAUCGAGGGAAUAGUUCACCAAUUCUUAGUGGGUGAUAGAUCUCAUUCUAGGAGUAAAGAGAUUUAUGCAAUGUUAGAAAAGAUUAUUAGGACAUUGAGAUUGGAAGGGCACUCACCAGAUACUAAGAACGUGUUGCAUGAUGUGGGAGAAGAGGAGAAAGAAGAUGCAUUGCGUUACCAUAGCGAGAAGUUGGCCAUUGCCUUUGGUUUUAUCGCUACGAGAAGUUGCGAUAUGAUUUAUGUUGUGAAAAACCUUCGCAUAUGUGGAGAUUGCCAUUCGGCCAUGAAAGCGAUCUCUAGGAUCUUUGAUAGGGAAAUCAUUAUUAGAGAUCGAGUGCGAUUCCACCACUUCAUAGAUGGUUCUUGCUCGUGCAUGGAUUAUUGGUGAACCAUAGAGUCAAAUGCUAAUUUUCAAACUGGCAAUGCAAUGCUUGUGAGUCAUGGUAAGCUAUUAAAUCUUUGUAGUUCAGAUAGAAAGUGACUGUCGAAGCGAUGUUGGGAUGCUUAAGGGCAAGCUUCCUCAGAUUUCUCGAGGGCAAAGGUUCUUCUUUUCUAGGAGAAUUUGGGUACUCAUCUGCUCUAGAUGCAAGGCUACAAGUCUCACUCUCCCCAUUCAAGUCCAUGAAACAACCUCGGGCCCUGCCCAUCUGAAACUUGAAUAUUUGAAGAACAAGGUACAAAAAAAUGACAACAUAGAAAGGAGUGCAAAUUCUCUCCAGUGGAAGGGGAACAGAAUCCAAGUGGAGGGUCUGAGCAUGUUUGGAUUAUUCCCUAGGUUCAGGGUUGCCAUGUCUGAGCAUUUUAAACGGGAUGGAGGAUGGUUCUAGGGUUUAUCUCUCCAUAUUUAUGGUUAGGGUUUGGGUUUCUUGAUGCUAGUGUGGUGAAGGAGAUGCAGGGGAAGAGAGUGAAGAGAAAUGGCGGGGAGCAUUUGAGAUGGGAUUGCAAGUCUCCUCAUCCCCUGAUUUUGAAUUUGAAAACCCAGAAAGUAGCCGUUGCAUGAUUGUUAACUAGUCAAGAAGGUGGGCACCAAGUUCCAGCCAAAGGCUAAGGCAAAGAGGCCGUCCAUUCCUUCUUCGCAUGCACAGAAUAAAGACAAUUCCAA